GAAUUCGAUUGCGGAUCCCGCGGCCCGCUGCAGAUCUGGUCGAUCCUGCCGGACCCGACUGCUAUCAGAGUGGGACUAAGCCAUGCGAGUCAACAUAGCAAUAUGUGGCAUACGGCUCAGUAACACGUAGUCAACAUGCCCAGGGGACGUGGAUAACCUCGGGAAACUGAGGAUAAACCGCGAUAAAUCACUACUUCUGGAAUGGGUAAUGAUUUAAAUCUAUAUGGCCCCUGGAUUGGACUGCGGCCGAUCAGGCUGUUGGUGAGGUAAUGGCCCACCAAACCUGUAACCGGUACGGGCUCUGAGAGGAGGAGCCCGGAGAUGGGCACUGAGACAAGGGCCCAGGCCCUAUGGGGCGCAGCAGGCGCGAAACCUCUGCAAUAGGCGAAAGCCUGACAGGGUUACUCUGAGUGAUUUCCGUUAAGGAGAUCUUUUGGCACCUCUAAAAAUGGUGCAGAAUAAGGGGUGGGCAAGUCUGGUGUCAGCCGCCGCGGUAAUACCAGCACCCCGAGUGGUCGGGACGUUUAUUGGGCCUAAAGCAUCCGUAGCCGGUUCUGCAAGUCUUCCGUUAAAUCCACCUGCUUAACAGAUGGGCCGCGGAAGAUACUAUAGAGCUAGGAGGCGGGAGAGGCAAGCGGUACUCGAUGGGUAGGGGUAAAAUCCGUUGAUCCAUUGAAGACCACCAGUGGCGAAGGCGGCUUGCCAGAACGCGCUCGACGGUGAGGGAUGAAAGCUGGGGGAGCAAACCGGAUUAGAUACCCGGGUAGUCCCAGCUGUAAACGAUGCAGACUCGGUGAUGAAUUGGCUUUAUGCCUAUUCAGUGCCGCAGGGAAGCCGUUAAGUUUGCCGCCUGGGGAGUACGGUCGCAAGACUGAAACUUAAAGGAAUUGGCGGGGGAGCACCACAAGGGGUGAAGCCUGCGGUUCAAUUGGAUUCAACG
rnacentral:rRNA from 1 species